GAUGGCCUGAUAUUAACACGAUUUUCAGACCAUAUUUAUUUUUUGGUGGUUACCAAAAAAUCCGCUAUGGCCUACUCGGAGUUAUUCCGAGCAGUUCCGAAAGCCUACGAAAGUAAACGGAGCACAAGCACGUGACAGUUAUGAAUAAUCAAUGAGGUCAGCAAAUCAAAACAAAGAUGGACAGAUGAAAAUGAAAAGAGAAACAGAGGCAGACAGAGAUUGCCAAAAUCGAUCAGAAAGCGACGGUAAAUGAAAAAUGUAGGAAAGAUAUUGACGUCGAUGGUUUAUUUAGGCAUUGAUUGAAAGAAAAGGAUAGCAUUCAAAGCUUCAAAUGGAGUGGGAAAAUGGAGGGCGUGGAAACGAAACAUCACGAUAGUAUCUUUUGACAUCACGCUUCAAGACUCCGAUGUCAGGAGGCUGGUGAUGUCACAGAUUUUAACCUGGCUUGAACAUGCCAAGUGAACUGGCAUCUCAGCUGUUCUUCUCCAUCAUUUGACGGAUGAGCAUGAGUGGCCUCCCCCGAUUCAAUAUUAUGAGUAAAGUCAUGGGCCAUUGAGCCAAGAGGAGAGGAAUUCACCAUGGCUUAACAAUAAAAAAACACUUUAGUACCCUUAAAGCCCUCAGAGUGAUUGUCCUUGACAACCACCUUCCAUCAAAGAUGCAUACUAUCUAGUAUACAGACUAAACCGUGCAUGGAACAAUAGAAGAGGAUGGCAAUAUUCCCCAGUAAACGCAGUGAAAGAAAAAAGACCUAUCCAUACAGAGUCGCAGAAGAAACUGAUCUUCAUGUGUCACUUGACCAACAAUUUUUCGGUAUGGGUAGAAAGGCUGUUAUGGAGAAGCACUACCCUCGACAAAUCUCUAGCCACCUUGAACAGUUAUCUCCUUAACCAAGAAGGGAAUUGUACAGCGAGCAAGAAUCUAGGUUUAAUAAGAGAUUUUUCUAGAGGUUUACUGUGUGCUCCAAUAUUCAUGAAACUUUAUGACAAUGGUCUCAUUGUUGUCUUGUUUGAAACUAGGUUACAUGUGGACUGAAUGGAAGUCACUUGAUUUUAUUUUUAAAACAUUAUAGAAUCAAACCUUGAUAUUGCUUUGUAAGAUUACAUGUGUUCAAACUUAGUGAGAAUGUUCACCUUGAUGAAAUGUUAAGGGAGAUCAAGUUUGUCACAUACGGUAAAAAAUAUGGUCACUUCUUAAGAAAUACUUGGGUACUAGAAGCAAAAUAUGUACUCGCAAUAAAUUUGUGUGUAUAUUUGUUCUCUUCAGCUUUAUAAGUCGUGUUACCUGCGACAUGCUAACGCAUUUUAAGUAUUUAAAAAAAGUUUGAUUUUAUAUUAAAGUGGAUGGAACUUGACCAAAACCCUUUGAAAAUAGGGUAUAUCAAAAGCACAUAGGAUACUUUGAAAGUUGAACUUCAUACAUGUAUAUUGAUUUAUAUGUGAUGAUUAUUUUGGUGAAGUUCUCAAAAAUAAACAAAAUGUCAAAUUAAA